ACCACCCGUAGUAAACGUGCACGGGCACAUCAUCCAGGCAGCUCUCACUCCUCUCCAGGAGGAUGUACUUCUCAAAGUCAGCUGCAAACUCCUUCCACAUCACAAAGAGAAACACGAGCAGGAGAAACAAACCUCCUGGGAAGAGAGACAAAACUGAGUUACUGUCUGCACAGGGAAUGCAGGAAUAAAGGUUCCUGUGGAAGCUGAGGCCACUGGCUGUGGGAAACCCCACACCACAGGGUCCAGUUCCUGCCUCUGACACCUCCUGCCUUGACCACCAGCACUUCUGAAGGCUCUGCUUCAGCAGGAUAAGGCCACGGAGAAACCACAGGAGCAGGACUGAUGCUCCCAGCAGGGACCUGCCUUCCUCUCUCCAAGGUGAGAUGUUUCACCUUUUUCACUUUCAGUUUCUCAGAGAUUAAUGAGGAGAGUCCAAAACUUACUUUUUCCUUUUUUUAACUACCCUUGCAAGCAGUGUCAUAACCAAUCCCCACCAGGAACACAAAGAUGCCAUGAUAAAUCCUGGUGCUGGUGGAAAAAUUCUGGCACUGCCACCCCCAGAGCCAGCAGAUUAUGGUGUGGGAAAGGCACACAGCCAUGAGAUAUUAAUUUUAGGUGGGCAACUAAAUACCAGAAUAAUAACAAGAAUUAUUACAGCAGCUUAUGCCACGAAGCUGAAAGCAGAUGAAAAAAAUUAGAGUGGCCCAAAUCUCGUUUACUGUGUAUCUUUUAAAAAAUAGAUAUUUCUAUGGUGCAUUUUAAACUCAACAUCUAUUAAAGCUAAAUAGUGACGGUGUGAUGACAGGUCUGAAAGCAGUUCCUGCUACUUCACAGGUAGAAGCUGCUAUUUUUAAAUGGUGCUGUAUAACAUAUAGAUAUACACACACACACAUAUGAAAGAAAUACAUCACAGCUUAUAUUAUUUUUAUGGUUGAAGCGAACUGCUCGAAAUUAAUUCAGUUGACAAAUUACCACACAGUUCUGUGGAUGUGUUGUGGCUUCUGCAAGAUUUAAUUUCUCCCCUUGCCAUUUUUAAAUCAAAGGUAGUUGUGGUGUAUUUAAUUACUCUUCCUGGCAGCUUCUGCACUCCAAAAUCCAGCUCUUGUGCUAAGGAAAGGAAAGGGGUAAAGAUUGACGUUGAUUUAUCUGCUUAGGGAGGUUACUGAAUCUUCAGUCAGAGAAAACACGACUGUGUUUUACUGUGAUUCUGUUUAUAAUGGUUAUAAAAACAUCUCAGAGACAAAAAUAAGACUCACAUGAAGGUAAGAGGCUUCAAAGUCCUCUCUAGGAGGGAGACAGAAGUUGCAGUUCCCCACCCUAAGCUGUCACAUUUACUAAACUGCCUCCCAUGCCCUAAAAAGAUGCAAUCUUACCAAUCAAAAAUUGGUGUAGCCAUACAAAUAUUCUUUACAUCACCCCACACUGAAAUUCCAGCCAUUCUCCCUGACGUGGGAGUCCUUGUUUUUCCUGGAGAGGCAGGCAAGGAGUUAAACAGCAGCUGCUGGAACAUUUGCAUGUUCAUUGAGGUUUUGAUACCACUUGAAAUUAAGUGCACAAAUAAAUAUUUUACACUUACCAUGAUAGUUGUAUGCUUAAAAUACCAAUUAUUCUACUAUAAGAAAGAGAUGGUGUGUUCAAAUAGUCGCAUGUCCUUUACAAAAUACAAUGUAUUGAUAAGAAGGCAAUUAAGUCUUUAUUACUGAUGUAAUUUAAAAUUAAAUUAAUUAGAUAGCAACUGAACCUUGAAAAGUGCUCCUUUAAAGAUCAAUUUCUAUUUCAUUAACUUAUAAUACCUACCGUAAGAGACGCAAAUGAAAGCGCAGCCCCGGUGGGACAGAGAACGUGGGUAUGGAAAUGUACUUUGGAAUUUUGCUUUAAAUAACCAGGAAUUCUGUGUUGAUUUCUCCCAGGACAAUUUACAUGGCCUAAGUCUUGUUUUUUGAAGUAAUCAGAUCAAAACCUUCCAGUUCUAACAGAGGAGGGUGUGGGAGGUCCCAUGAGUGGGUGGCACCAUCCCCAACCUCUUCAGCAGAUAAGGAAUGGGAAUUGGUCCCUCCUCUGGCCUCAGGAGAGGCUCCAGGUCUUGGCAUGGAAGGAUUUAUUAUUAAACAGGUACUGGAGGUGAUGGCAUGGCCAUGGCAUCUAAAUUAAGAAUGUUUUCACACUCUGGGCAAAUGACAAGAAUAUGUAAAGCAAGCAGCCUUCUUCCCUGGAAUAAUUACAGCUGAGUGAUGAAGAAUCCCUGGGAUUUACACGAUGUCCUCGGUGGGAAGAGAAAAUCAGAAGGGCAGGUGCAGCCAAAGGAUGGUGGGAGCUCAGGAAGGGCAGCUCACCAAAAUCUGCUCAGCCAGAAAUGCUUGUUUGGAGCAAUCACAAGGGUACCUGAACCUGCCUAAAAUUUGUCACACUUACAGCCAUCAGCAGCCUCUUCAUCAUGAGAAAAUCAGGAUGUUUGACCCCUAUAUUACCAAAGUGUUUGGCAUUUUUGUUUUAAAGUCCUGUUGUAUUUGGGAUUUUUCAUCUGUUGAACAGGUUUCACUUUACUCCUUCCUUUCUGGGGCGUUUAGUGUUUUACACAGCAGAAAUUAUCUUUGGUUCCUGUCAGCUUUGGAUGUAGAGACAGAGAUUCCUUCCUGCUUUGGGCAGCAAAAUGAAAAACUGAAAAAAUGUAAUUUUCGGUCCAAAACAUGACACUGGCAUUGGCACCCACACCCAAGACACAGGGUUUGUAUUGGGUUUGGGUAAGUGAAGACAUCAUCAAACCUCAUCCCCUGCUCCUCUCAGCAUCUCUGUGCUUUCUCCACCAGAAAAUUACCCAAGUCAUUCCUUUUUUUGCCUCCUUCUCCCUCUUUGCCUCUGUUCAUUAGGAUGGUACUGGGAAAAAUUAACUGCGAAACUCCAUCUCCAGACUGAUGAGGUCAACGGCAUCUUCUGGGGAGGGGCUAAUUGCCAGAAAAUUGCAGUGGGGUAUUAAAUCUGUCUCCUUUGUGCACUGCAGAUCUGGGAGCCUGGAGCUCCAUCCCCCUCUCCCAGCGGAGCUGUGUCUUCGCGUGGGCAAAUUGAAGAGGAGCUUUUCCUUUCUCUCACUUUAUUUCCUUGUGACACCUUUAUAGCUGCUAAUUGUGGGGACAGGAUGUUAAUAACAGCGAAAUGGAGGGGUGACCUUCAGCUGCCCUUCCAUAACUGUCAGCCUUCACUGCACGUGGGGAGCCUGAGACUGCCAAAGUGGAGCUGCUCCAUCUGGGAAGCAGAAUCUGAGCAAAAAAUCCAGCACUUUAACUCACAGGAGUGGGUAAUCAGCCCUUUUUUCCCAUGCUGUUGGGUCAUGCUGAAGAAUGGGUUGGUCCCACCAUGGGCAGGGAUGUGUCCCAUCAUCCCAGUUCGCUCCAAGCCCCAUCCAACCUGGCCUGGAACACUUCUAGGGAUGGGGCCUUCACAGCCUCUUUGGGCAACCUGUGCCAGUGCUGCACGUCUAAGUUUGGUCUCUAAAAUGCCCAAAGGAAAAGAAAACCGAGGAGCACAAGGUAGGAAAAAAUGAAGGACCAAAAUGAAGAAAAGUUGUCUCAGCAACUCAAAGAGCUUCCAGAAGCUGCAGCAUGGAGCUAACCCAGCCCUCUUGGUGACAUUGUAGUGACAACUAACCAACCUCUGACUACUGAAACAAAGGGAUAAUCAGGCACCGGGCAGGAUCUGCCACCCCUUGGAAGCACUGAAGCUCAUUCCAAGAUGGCAAAUGCUGGGAGGAAAGCAGCACACUGGCUCAUGUAUUCCAGGUGCUUUUGGGAGAAGGCUGGCAGGGGAAACUGCUCAGAAAAUGGCCUCAGCUGCAAAGGCAGCACCAGCAAAUGUCAGAUUGGCUUUGGCUCUUUCCAGAGUCACCCAGGGGAGGAAAUCCAGAGAAAUGGUUCCACUGCUUUGGAAGGGCUCUCAGAAACACCUCCCUGAGCAGUCCAUUGGUUAUUGGAGCUGGCACAGUCAGAUUUGCCCUCUGGAAUGUACAGUAAAUAAAAGGCAUGUCAGGGGGAAAUCCAAAGGGAUCCAGCGCUAUAUUGAGCCAUAACAAUCUUCAUCCUUUGGUGCUGGAUUCCCCCAGAGACAGAUGGACACACAGCCCUCCUCAGGCUCGUCAUCCAUAAAUGUCUGGGAAUGCAUUUGCACCAGUGGUGUCUGUCUUGAGAGCCUUUUGGUGGAAAAAGUGAUGUCAUUGUGCAGUGAAUAACCACGCCUCCUCCCAAAAGUAGGGAGGUGGUGGGCAGAAUAAAGCUGCUGGUGAAGGGUUCCCUGCAAGGCUGGGACAUCCCACAGUCCUGGUGCUCCACCUCCCAUUCCCAAGGCCAGACCACAUUCCCACUCCGCAGAUUGCCAGCUUUUUCACACUUCCUCAAGGAGAGAUCCUUUCUGCAAGGGAGGUUAAUUAACACUGACCCGCAGGCCAUGAUUAGAAGACAAGAGGCGCUUUCUCCUGCAUCGUCCCUGCACAUCCCGCUAUCCGAAGGAAAGGGAUGGCUGGGGACUUGAGCCUGUGUUAAAUCCAUUGUUCCUACUGCUUAGUGCAAUUAUGCAAAAUAUUUUUAGAAGGGAUAACGAGAAAAUAACCAUGGAGGGAUGCAACCCAAAUCCAUCCAGAAGCCAGGGCCAAGCAGGAUCCAGAGGUCUGAGAUCAGGAUAAGCCCCCGAAUGAAAGGAUCAGUUGAAACACUAAGGAAACUUUGCUGAAAACCACAUUGAAUCCUUCUGCUAUCAUUUGAGUGGAAAAUAUAGCAGGAAGUGUCUUCCAGCUGAACUUGUUCCCCCGAAUGACUGUUAAUAACAAUGAUUGCUGUUCAGAUUGAAGCUGCAUUAAUACAAACUUCAAUUUUAACAGCAGCAUCUUUGUCUAAUGCCAAGAGGUUUAUGUGAUGCAUAAUCAGCUCUUCCAAAAAGUGUCACAUUCGAAGCCCCAGCCUUUUAAUCAAGGAGUAGUCAAAUAAAGUGGAAAAGCAAUGAAGAAAAAGAAGAAAAAAAAAAAAAGGAAGACAGUUGAGUAUUACUCGGCAUCCUUUUCUGUGAUAUUUCUGCCCAAUGUGCAGGCUGGACACACUCCUCAGGGACAUCUGCUGCCUCCCGGGAGCCUGGACUACAGAUGGGAAGGGAAAGCUUCCUGCCCUGUACAGCCCUUGGAUUAUCAUUAUCCAUUAUGGCAUCACAACAACCCCAUGGAAAACUACAGGCUUGGGAAUCUGUUUGUGGAAAGGGCCCUGGGGGUGCUGGUGCCAGCAGCUGGACAUGAGCCCAGGGGUUCCCAGCUGGGCAAGAGGCCAGUGGCACCUGGCUUGGGUCAGGAAUGGUGUCCAGGGGAUCAGGGCAGAGCUGUCCCCUGUGCUGGCACUGCUGGGGCACCUCCAGUGCUGGGGGCAGCUCGGGGACCCUCCUGGCCAGAGGGACAUUGGGGGGCUGGAGUGAGUCCAGGGAAGGGCACGGAGCUGGGAAGGGGCUGGAGCACCAGGAGGGGCUGAGGGAGCUGGGAAGGGGCUCAGCCUGGAGAAAAGGAGGCUCAGGGGGGACCUUGUGGC